rnacentral:rRNA from 1 species
AUGGCUGCCAUGCACGAGAGCACUCCGUCGCUCCUUGUGCUCUUCUUGUCGCUAAUGCUCUUUUUCACGGCGUCUUCCGCGCGCCACAUGACUGGUGAUCCACCGCCGGUUAUUCCUUCCCCGCCGCCCCAUAUGGCUUCUCCAACAAUGGAGGAGGCGUGGGAAGGCGUCAUGGUGGCACCGAGGCCAGUUCCUUCUGGACCGGACCCUAUACACCAUCGUCCUCAUGCCCCCCCGCCCCACAGGCCUCCCCCAUCAACGGAGGAGGCGAGGGAAGGUGUCAUGGUGGCACCGAGGCCGGUUCCUUCUGGUCCGAACCCUAUACAUCACUUUCCCGCCCCGGCGCCACAACCCCACCAUCAUCACCGAUGUCAUGACCUACCGCCCGCAUCAACAGAGGAGGCGUGCGAAGGCGAUAUCGUGGCGCCGAGGCCAGUUCCUUUUGGAUCACACCCCAUACAUAACCACCCUGCUCCAGUGCCUCAACCCAACCAGCAUCGUCGACGCAAGGCCCCACCGCCUGCAUCUUUGGAGGAGGGGAGGGAAGGCGACAACAUGUCACCAAGGAGGCCACUUCCUGUUUUCGGACCAAACCCAAACCAUAACCACCCCGCCAAGGCACCGGCUCCUCCUCAUGAGUAA